GACGAACGCUGGCGGCGUGCUUAACACAUGCAAGUCGAACGGAAAGGCCCUGCUUUUGUGAGGUGCUCGAGUGGCGAACGGGUGAGUAACACGUGAGUAACCUGCCCUUGACUUUGGGAUAACUUCAGGAAACUGGGGCUAAUACCGGAUAGGAGCUCCUGCUGCAUGGUGGGGGUUUGAAAGUUUCGGCGGUUGGGGAUGGACUCGCGGCUUAUCAGCUUGUUGGUGGGGUAGUGGCUUACCAAGGCUUUGACGGGUAGCCGGCCUGAGAGGGUGACCGGCCACAUUGGGACUGAGAUACGGCCCAGACUCCUACGGGAGGCAGCAGUGGGGAAUAUUGCACAAUGGGCGGAAGCCUGAUGCAGCAACGCCGCGUGCGGGAUGACGGCCUUCGGGUUGUAAACCGCUUUCGCCUGUGACGAAGCGUGAGUGACGGUAAUGGGUAAAGAAGCACCGGCUAACUACGUG
rnacentral:rRNA from 1 species